AACAGGCCAUCAAAUCUGCAUGAGGAAGCCAGCAGCCCUGGGCUCCGGGGCACAGGGGCGCAUCUGACACCUAAUUAAGCCAUCCCGGUAAACCAGCUCUAGAGCACCUGCCAUUAUUUUAGGAAACGGCAUAAAGAGAAUGAUAAUUAAAAGUAACACCCUGGGUGGGAACUUCUACUUCAUUCCAGCGCUGGCAAGUAAAGCACCUUGGGAAUUUUUGAAGAUGUCUUCCAAUCUCUCUGAGUGAUUACCUAUUCCUUUGGAUGGCUACAUGUAUACUGAUGUUCUCAGAAUUCCUUCCCCCUUCGUUGGAGCUGGAUUCACCCCAACUGCUAUGAAUCAGGAGACCAGGAUUCAAGCUUAUGAUCUAUGUUUAACUAGAAUAUGGACCCUGGACUGAUUGGCUACUCAUCGGUCACAAGUUUCCAUGAUUCAACUGGAUGGGCAAAAAAGGACAGGGAGAAGACAAGGAAGGGUUGGAGGGGCGACAUUUUAACAACUAAUGCAGAGACAGCUGCAUGACUGGAACCUCAGAGACAACAACUACACAAGAGCUGAAGAGUGAAAGAGAAUAUGUAAAGUAUUUUUUCAAGCUGUGGUUUCCAGUAAUCCAGUUUCCCUCCCUGAAGUGUCUAACAUAGAUAGGUUAGGUUAGGCAAGAAACUGAGACAACCAAGAGAUACCAAAAUCAGGCAAAAUAGAAGAUUGUCUUUCUUAUAUAAUAAUUUGAAAGAAAGUGCUUCAGACUGAGGGUAGGUAGUGGUGAUGGCAGCUCUGAUCCAUGAAAAUUAAUGAUACAGUCCUCUCUGUUUUCAGGAUCACUCAUGUAUUCAUUGCCUUACAUAGCAACUAUGUUUCGAAGGUCUUUGAAUAGGUGCAUAUAUCUGUGCGUAGAUAGCGUAAAUAUAGAUCACAUAUAUACUUUUCAGGUUUGUAAAAUACUUUUUGCUCACAAACAUUACUUGUUGCUUUAAAAGCUAGAGUCCUAGGGUAGUUCUCCUCCUAAUAGGACACAAACAUGAAACAUUUCACUUCCAAUCUAAUCAUGUCUUCAUUGGGAGAGUGAAAAAAAGAUGGAAAAUUGGAGACUAGUUUUUCCAAACUUCAUCUGUCCAAUGGAGAUGUAAGGAGCCGUUCUGUCUACCUUGUAGGUUUUUUAUGAGAAUCACAUAUAUUUGAGAUUGCUUUGGUACAUAGUAAAGUGCUACACAAUGCUACUUAUUUAUAAUUUAACUUAGAAAAUUUCCAACAUUGGAUGCUUAAGAUAGCACCUUUAAAGAAAAUUAUUAUUGUUUGCCUAAUUCUCAGUUAUGUAAUUUUGAUUUUCAUAUAAUGUUGUUCUUAAAGGUAAGCCAGAGAGAGAGUGGUUACUCACUUUAAGAAAGGA